CCGAGUGCGGGCUGCCUCCGGGCGCCCAACCUCCCACCCGUGACUACCUAACACUGUUGCUUCGGCGGGGAGCCCCCUAGGGGCGAGCCGCCGGGGACCACUGAACUUCAUGCCUGAGAGUGAUGCAGUCUGAGCCUGAAUACAAAUCAGUCA
rnacentral:misc_RNA from 1 species